rnacentral:tRNA from 1 species
UGUGGCUCAGAGGUAGAGCGCCCACCUCGCACGUGUGAGGCACUGGGUUCGAUCCUCAGCA